rnacentral:rRNA from 1 species
CAUAAUCACUUGUCUUUUAAAUAAAGACUCGUAUCAACGGCAUCACGAGGGUUCCACUGUCUCCUUUCUCUAAUCAGUGAAACUAAUCCCCCCGUGAAUAAAAAUAUAAGACGAGAAGACCCCAUGGAGCUUUAAAUCUAGCUACACCCCCUAACCAUACACCCUCUCACCAACAGGAGUCCUAUAUGCUAGACUUUAGGUUGGGGCGACCACGGAGCACAACCAAACCUCCACGACGAACGAGCCUACCCUCUUACCUAAGAAGCACACUUCUAAGGGUUAGUACCCUAGCACAGCGAUCCGAUAUCGAUCAACGGACUAAGUUACCCUGGGGAUAACAGCGCAAUCCAUUUCAAGAGCCCCUAUCGACAAAUGGGUUUACGACCUCGAUGUUGGAUCAGGGUAUCCUAGUGGUGCAGCAGCUACUAAAGGUUCGUUUGUUCAACGAUUAAAACCCUACGUGAUCU